rnacentral:rRNA from 1 species
AUUGAACGCUGGCGGCAGGCUUAACACAUGCAAGUCGAGCGGUAACAGAGAGAAGCUUGCUUCUCUGCUGACGAGCGGCGGACGGGUGAGUAAUGCCUAGGAAUCUGCCUAGUAGUGGGGGAUAACUUGCCGAAAGGUAAGCUAAUACAGCAUACGUCCUACGGGAGAAAGGAGGGGACCUUCGGGCCUUUCGCUAUUAGAUGAGCCUAGGUCGGAUUAGUUAGUUGGUGAGGUAAUGGCUCACCAAGACCGCGAUCCGUAACUGGUCUGAGAGGAUGAUCAGUCACACUGGAACUGAGACACGGUCCAGACUCCUAUGGGAGGCAGCAGUGGGGAAUAUUGGACAAUGGGGGGAACCCUGAUCCAGCCAUGCCGCGUGUGUGAAGAAGGUCUUAGGAUUGUAAAGCACUUUAAGUUGGGAGGAAGAGCAGUUAACUAAUAUUUGACUGUUUUGACGUUACCGACAGAAUAAGCACCGGCUAACUUCGUGCCAGCAGCCGCCGUAA